CAUGUUGCCGGAAAAUACCUUCCACUGCUUUUAAGUGUGAGUGGGAAAGGAGUGGAGCUGUAGUGUGUCGCUUUGACCGAUUGUUUGACAGAAUUAGUCAAAGUAGUUACAAUGGCCAUGGUUUUGUAUUCUAUUCUAUUCUAUUCUAUUCUAUUCUAUUCUAUGGAUUCAUCGGGUUUUCUUAGUUUACUGUCUUGCUCUGUUAUGUUGUUUCACAUACUGCAUUUGUAUUAGAUGGUUUUAAUGUUAAGUGAUUUGUUUAGAUCUGAAGUGUUUUACUGUGGGUACAUAUACGAGUGUUAUGAACGGGCAUGGCUGAGCAGCUCUACUUAAUGGUGAAAUCGAGUUCUUUUUAAAAAUGGUAAUAAUUCUCCAUCCCUAAAAUGACGAACAUGGUCAAUGUCCAGUUUUUGAUAAUGAAUCGUCUUUUUUUAACUGGUUGAGCGACUUAAGAAAUAUUUGCAUUUAAUUGAUGGACGUAUAUAAAAAAUCAGAAACUUGGGUGAAUCAUUUGUCAAUAGCUUAGUCAAACGCUUGUUUCUUUGGAGUCGGCCUAGAUUUUUUGCGCGUGCCUCGGGAUGACCACACACCAAGAAUGUAUCGUCUCUGGUGUUAACAUGAGACUUAAAACAACCGUUGGGAUGUGUUCACCAUAACAAAAAAAAACCGCUAAUGUAAUUGUGUUUAGUAAUAUGUUUCUGAACGGCCUAUGAACUAGCCGCAGGAAUAAUUUAAAUCUGCAGCAGAAUGGUAAUUUGUAGGUAUUUUAAAGACCUAGGCACUUCUUAGACAUGUAAAUUAAUAAGAAGCUAACACUUGUCACAGAUAACCCCAGUCAGGAUUGCUAGGUCUUCAGAAUGGCAAAUAAAUAGUUUUGAUGGACAUCAAAUCAGCAGGAUACUUAAAAAAUGGCUUCGAGCUGCAUUUUUCUGGUGCCUUUUUAUAGAACAGCUAUGACCUCCUUCUUUCAUCCACACUGUCAUGUUUAAUUCUUCAACUGAAAUAGCAAUAAAAAGAGAAUUCAUAUAGAAAAAUUUUCUAUGAAAGUUAAUUGCCAAAAACGGUGUGAACAGAAUAAAACGUCUUGGUGCUGUUCUUUUAUGCCACUGUUUAUCAGCAUGUGUGCCCACUGGGAGUGGAAUGCACCAUUUCAGACCUAGAGGUUGUGUGAAUGUGAAAUCAAUUUAGGUGACCUGGAGCCUUCUUUGCAUGCCACAUGCGUGCGUGUGAGUGUGUGUGCGCGCGCACACACCACUUCCUGUUCAGGACACAGAGUUCUGGAGGCCCUGGGUUUUCCUGGAGGUGGGGUGGGAAAUCCCUCUGCCUUUUUAGCCGGCCCCAUGCUACUGAGUCUUCUCUUCCCACACCUCGUGCCACACUUAUGAUGUAAUUCCACCAGCUGAAACACCGUCCAGCACGGGCACUUCCCCGGGCUGUCUGCUGACAUGCCACCUGAAUGGGAGCAGGCUUCCCAGCCUCAUGCUCAUCACAGCCUCUCUUGUGCCUUUUUCUAACUGAGUAAGGUCUGCCUAUCUCCACCUCCCCUUUUUAUUCUCAGGUCUUGGUACAUUCCAGCCACAGCCCUCAGGCCAUCCAAUUGGUGGAGGGACAAUGCUGGAACUCUUUAGUUGUGCCGCGGACAUCCGUAGCCUUUCCGGUAGCAGCGUCAGAGUCGCUGUGGCAUUCGACCACGUUCCGGAAAGCCGGACCAUCUCAGCUUUUUGCUGUCUCUCUUAUCGAAAGCAGAUGCAGGUCCAGCAGUACUGGUAAACAUGUGUUCUCACCUCCGUACGGAAUUCACAGGAAGUGGCUCAUAUUAGGUAUUGUUUAUUCUGGAAGGGUGGGAGAAAGACUGACCAAAAAUAACCUUUCUUUUGGGUUUAUUUGGCCCGAACUUAAUUACGACAGCAUGGGCCGUAACUUAUUGCAUCCGCUUUCCUGGUGUGCAUGAAGGCCAGACCCACUUCAGCAGCCAGCUCUCUGAUCACAAUGGGGUUGCUCAUGGUAAUCAUGGACACGGCAAUCCACUGUAACACUUGUGAGCCCCCAGACCCUCGCAGGUCACCCCCAUCCCCCGCCGUCUGCAUCCACUCAGAGCUUCCUGUCACGUGACCUGAGCAGCCCCCAUACUGGCUGACAGGGCUGCAGUAGGGGAUCAGAUACCCUGGCAGAUUUACAUACCUUUGAAUACAUAAAAUUCUACAUAAAAUUGGGCGGAGCCCAAAAUUUCAAGCUAUGCCCCUUCUGGCAGGUCACUGAAAGACAGGUAAAUAUGGUCGUGUCCGGCCUAAAACCACUCACAUCAUCCAUCCUUCUCCGUGUGCCUUCAGAUCCCGAUGGUAAAGAUUUGGCGGGAGUGAGGGGGACCAUGAGAUGCCCGUCUGUGCAUGUAUUUGCUAUGAGAAGCAACUUGCUACUGGUGAGGGGUUCAGUGUCUAAGGUCAUAUGCUGCCUCCGGGUGCUGUUUUGAAAGUGGAACUGAGGAAGAAAUGUGGUCAACACAGCUUUGCUGCUCAUCCGGCGUGACCGAGGAUAGGGCGAGUCGUUAAGGAAACGGGAAGGCCUCAAAGUCCUGGAGGAACUGUGCAGCUGUAUCCUUGGGGAAGGUACUCGUUGUUUCAGAGAGACCCAGCUAUGGAAAUGUAUCCGUCUUCAAUAACCACACAUCCUGAUCUGGAGUCGCUCCCAGGAAACACGGGCAUGAAUACCCAUAUUCUUUUUUUUUUAGGGGUGGAGAGGGGUUGUGAGGGUGAAUUACCUUGUGUGGGAGAAGCAUCAGUUACAUGACUGUCACCCAGCAUUCACUGCUACUGUAUACCUCAUAUACCUCAUUGCCACCAACACAGUACCGAAAACGGUGCCGACCUUUUUCACAAUCAGGAACUAAUUCCGCACGUUUCCACUGCAAAAAAAAAAAAGAACUGGCCCAGGACCAGAAGAAGAUGGCUCCAGCGGCACCACAGAAAAGCUGUGUAGCUGGAGCAUUUAAUCCACAACCGAUAUGGUUUAGUGUAAUAUCACUGGUGCCGGCAGUGAAACAACUUGCCAGCUCAUUAGUAGAAUAAUGUUACAUCCUUUUUUUUUUAUUCUCUGAAAAAUGAAAGAUCAAUUUGCUUGUCAGAUUUAAUAAUAAAUUAUUAACAUGUCACAGUUCAAAUAAGGAAAAUGUGCUAAAGUGGCAAUGAGAUUAUGAGGCGGACAGCAAGUUUCAGUUUUUAGCAGUUUCUUUUAUUGCAGGAUCUUUAAAAGGACAGUGGUAAAAGAGUGAGUGAAAAUAAACUCACUCACACACUCUGGGGAGAAAUGCAGCCUUUAAGGAGCAAAAGUGGAUACAGGCAAUAAAGACAGAAUGCAAUGAGUCUUAUUCUGAAAACUAUAAAACUUGAAGGGCUCUUUUUUCAGUUCGGCAGCUUGUAAAAAAUUACAGGUCAAAUAUAAGCCUCAAAAACAGAAUUAAUGCAAACAUUUCCGUUAUUUUUUGAAAUAGUGGAAAUGCGGGCAGGUUCUCAAAAAGCACCAAGAGAGAACCAGCUGAACACCGGCUCCGAGUUGGUGGAAACGAGACAUUAGAUGUCUUCUCUAUGAAGCUGAAGCACCGUUUGCCUUGUAGUUGGACUCCGCUGAGCAAUGCAAGGCUGCCAUACACCUAGUCAAUCCCACAAUGCAACAAUCCAGCUCAGCCUGGCCUUACGGCCCUGUCAGUCAGCGUCAUGACCUGUCCUGGCCUUGUGACUCUUACUGUUUCUCCUCUUUGGACAUCUUUGGCUCAGCUUCUUCAUGCUCAUGCUGAGGUCUCACCUAACUCUUUAAAAUGACAUUUUACUUGAGUUUUAUUGAUUUACUUGAAUUUUAUUUUUCAUUUAUUUGUAUAUUUAUUUAUAUAUGUUAUAGUGCAUUUAAUUACUUGAUGUAUGAGUGGAGGUGGCAGUAGCGUGGGGGGGGACAUCCUUUUUCUUAUGUAAAGCAUUUUGUCUUACAUUGUGUUUGUAUGAAAAGUGCUAUAUAAAUAAAGUCUGAUUGAUUGAUCGA